GCCAGUUGCAACUCAAGAAAUGGAAAUCAGCAACCGUGAUGGCUUUGCUGGAAAAAGAGUUGAACAUCGUGAAGGAUUAUGUAGAAUGAACACUGUACAGGCUAUUGAAAUAAUUGGCGAACUUUUUGGAGACAAACUGACAUCCAUGAUUCUUUACUUGGCACGUAGGAACAUGCCCACACAUUGGGAUUCUUUCAUGCAGCACUUACACCUUCUAGU
rnacentral:misc_RNA from 1 species